CUCUGGGCGACACUGCCCCUAGUGGCAGAUGUGUUUACUUCAUAAACAAAAGGGAAUCCGUAUCAUAAUCCAGAGCUGAAAUCUGUCGGUAACAUGCUAGCUAAUACGCUUGAUGAGUGUUUGCGUUGAACAAUUUAACUACUGAAUUGACAUUUAUAUAACAUUUAUUCAUGAUUGUGUAUAAGCCAGAAGCAUGUGUUGCUGCUUUACGAUGCUCCUUUUGCAAACGCCAUUUUUCACAGAAUUUUAAAUGCAUGUUGUCCUUCAUCUAAACCGUAUAUGCCGAAAGCAUUUUCUACAGAAUGUAUACAGGUGUUUGUAUUCCAUAUUCAGGGUGAACUUUCAUGUAAAUAUACUAUUCAUUGUGACUUAGAUUCCACAACGAUCUCGCAAUGUGUUGCCAUGUUUUUAUACAACUAUAAUAAAAAUGCUCUGUGACAGAUGGA